rnacentral:rRNA from 1 species
GAUGAACGCUGGCGGCGUGCCUAAUACAUGCGAGUCGAGCGAACAGACGUGGAGCUUGCGCCUCUGAGGUUAGCGACGGGCGGGUGAGUAACACGUGGAUAAGCAACCUAUAAGACUGGGAUAACUACGGGAAACCGGAGCUAGUACCGGAUAAUAGAAUGAACCGCAGGGUGCAAUAGUGAAAGAGGGGUUUGCUGUUGCUUAUAGAGGGUACCGGGUCGCAUUAGCGAGGUGGUAAGGUAACGGCUUACCAAGGCGACGAUUCGUAGCCGACCUGGGAGGGUGUCCGGCGACCCUGGAACUGGAACACGGUCCAGACUCCUACGGGAGGCAGCAGUAGGGACUCUUCGGCAAUGGGCGAAAGCCUGACGGAGCAACGCCGCGUGAGUGAUGAAGGUCUUCGGAUCGUAAAACUCUGUUAUUAGGGAAGAACAAAUGUGUAAGUAACUAUGCACGUCUUGACGGUACCUAAUCAGAAAGCCACGGCUAACUACGUG